rnacentral:rRNA from 1 species
AUGAAGCGUUUUGGCAAAAUCGACGGCCUCCUUGGGGAGGAUCGUCGGGCUAAUAUUGACUGUUUGUUGGAACUGUCAUGGGCUAGGCGAACCUGCACAGUUCAUGGAUUGUGCAAUAUUGCGCGGGAGUGUGCCGACUUUGCGUGGUGGAAACCCAGUUACCAAAGUAUCAUGUGGAGCAGUGGCAGGGCUACACAUGACAUGUUGGAUGGGCGAAAGGCAAUACAUCAAUCUCUGAGGGUGCGCGCCAUCGGUCGGCCGCUGACGAUAAGUGUUUCUGUGAGAGCAACUCUAGCAGACCCCGCAUCCCACCGGCCCGCAAAACGCGUUUGCAAUUCGCGCAAAACCACUUUUGCGGGCCGACGCGGUCUGGCACAGAUGCAGACCCCCCAAACGGAUCCGUAA